UGACUGGUGUGAUUGUCGCCAUUGUCGCCAUUGUUAUGAUGAAGAAGAAAGGCUACAAGAAGGCAGAGCAGUCCGAUUCCGAAUCUGAUCACUCCAACGGUGCACGGGCUUGAGUGUGGUAACUGCUGAAUGUGAAGAGUGAGGAGCAAUGAAGAAGGAUAUGCAAAUCAACAAACAGAUUUCUCUCUAUAUGCAACAUCCUACAAUGGUUAUAUCCAUGAUUUAGGUAUAAUGUUAAGAUUUUAUGUCUAUUUACUUUCAUCCAGUUUUUAGCAAUAACUCAUCCUUUUCUCAAACUGCUGUACAAACAAAAUAGAUUCUAGUGCAGUCAAAUCUGUUCUAUUGGUGUGAAGAGUAUUGAUUUGAAUAUAAUAGUAGGCAUUGUGGUUUCUUUAAUUGUAUUGUGUUGGUGUGCUGUUGCUUUGUAUUGCUCUGUACUAUGUGUUUUUUAAUAUAUUUGUUUCACCAUUUGAACUGGUGAUGGGAAGUGGGCAAUUCUUGAUUCUAGGGUGAAACAAAGAUCCACUUUUUUUUUCAUCUUUCAUAUUUUCAAUUUUUUCCAGUCAGCAAUUGAAUGAGUCAAUAACCAGAUUGACUACAUAUAGACUUGAUUCACAAACAUACACAUUUAGAAUUGUGUUAAAAAUUGAUUUUGUAGAUACUGCUGUCAUCAAUGGAAAUCUUUUACAAAAAAUAAAAUCUACCAAAUUGGAA